UACGUAGGGUGCGAGCGUUGCCCGGAUUUAUUGGGCGUAAAGGGCGCGUAGGCGGCCACGCACGUCCGUUGUGAAAUCGCCCGGCUCAACUGGGCGGGGUCAGCGGAUACGGUGUGGCUAGAGCAAGCUAGGGGGCAAUGGAAUUCCCGGUGUAGUGGUGGAAUGCGUAGAUAUCGGGGAGGAACACCAGUGGCGAAGGCGGUUGCCUGGAGCUUUGCUGACGGCUGACUGCGCGAAAGCGUGGG
rnacentral:rRNA from 1 species